UACGUAGGGUCCGAGCGUUGUCCGGAAUUAUUGGGCGUAAAGGGCUCGUAGGCGGUCUGUUGCGUCGGGAGUGAAAAUUCACAGCUUAACUGUGAACUUGCUUCCGAUACGGGCAGACUUGAGGUAUUCAGGGGAGAACGGAAUUCCUGGUGUAGCGGUGAAGUGCGCAGAUAUCAGGAGGAACACCGGUGGCGAAGGCGGUUCUCUGGGAAUAUCCUGACGCUGAGGAGCGAAAGUGUGGGGAGCGAACAGG
rnacentral:rRNA from 1 species